UACAGCUCGACGUUUCUUUUGUCGAGAUGAAAUAUGAUUGAAAGAUGCUCAACGAGCUGAUAGAACUACGAGAUCAGUGUUUCCAGAUGGGUGAAAAUGGACAGGGCACCUUGGCGGUUAACAGACUAAAUUGGAAGGACUGUAAGAGGGACUUGCCUGGAAUUCAGAAAGCGGCGCGGAUCAGACGAGACCUUCAGAUGGAGCCCAUUGUUGGCAGGGAGGCCAAUGCAGAUUGUUAGUGGAGGCCGAACCUCCAGCCCAGCUUCCCUGGAUAACUCCCUCUCUCUCCUAAUCUAUGCUAAUGAAGCAGAAAUCAAAGCCCGAAAUGUCCAAGUAGCAUGCUUUCUACCUCAGUCAUGUUCAAAGCCGUAUUAAAGAUGACAGAAACAAGUCUAGAGCAUUCUUUCACUGCGUUAUGUAGCCCACAGGGGCUUUGUGUUUAACUUCUCAAACAACCAUGUUCAGCUUGUGUCAUGAAUGAUGCAGGCUCUCGCAUGACGUCUGUGUGGGCUGAUGGUUUUAAUGCAGUUUCUUGACAUGCUUUUUUUGCACGUUCGUUUACAGUCAGUUUUGGGGAAUGUAAUGGGUUACAGCAUUGCAUUACUCGUUAUAAAAUGCAACUAAUUGUGCUACAUUCUCUCACUGUUCAUCUGACUGAGGUGUUAUGCUUAGCUCGCAGAUGUUUUUCACAUUAGAAAUGCUUUUUUUUUUCUUUUUGUGCUGUGCACAUUUUACCCCCCAGACAUGUUUGCUUGUAAUAGUAUAUAGGCUGUACCAUGAAAUUGCAUUGUCAAGGUUUUUUCAUUACUUUUUCAUUUUAUUUCAUUACCUUUUUUUUCUAUCAUAUUGAAAUUUUUAUCAGUACCCAGAUUUUUUUUUUAUAAAUAUUAUAUAAUAUAUAUGUUAUUAACUGUUUAUUUUAUUUUAAGUGAUUUUUUCUAUUGUACUAUAAUUCUAUUCAUGUCUUUUGUGUAUGACUCUUAAAAGCAUGCAAGAUAUAUUUUUCCCUUUCUAAAUUAUAUAUCGUUAAAAU
ensembl:lncRNA